rnacentral:rRNA from 1 species
AGCAUAUCAAUAAGCGGAGGAAAAGAAACCAACCGGGAUUGCCCUAGUAACGGCGAGUGAAGCGGCAAGAGCUCAAAUUUGAAAGCUGGCUCCUUCGGGGUCCGCAUUGUAAUUUGCAGAGGAUGCUUCGGGAGCGGCCCCCAUCUAAGUGCCCUGGAACGGGCCGUCAUAGAGGGUGAGAAUCCCGUAUGGGAUGGGGUGUCCGCGCCCGUGUGAAGCUCCUUCGACGAGUCGAGUUGUUUGGGAAUGCAGCUCUAAUUGGGUGGUAAAUUUCAUCUAAAGCUAAAUAUUGGCCGGAGACCGAUAGCGCACAAGUAGAGUGAUCGAAAGAUGAAAAGCACUUUGAAAAGAGAGUUAAAAAGCACGUGAAAUUGUUGAAAGGGAAGCGCUUGCGACCAGACUCGCCCGCGGGGUUCAGCCGGCAUUCGUGCCGGUGUACUUCCCCGCGGGCGGGCCAGCGUCGGUUUGGGCGGCCGGUCAAAGGCCCCUGGAAUGUAACGCCUCUCGGGGCGUCUUAUAGCCAGGGGUGCCAUGCGGCCUGCCCGGACCGAGGAACGCGCUUCGGCUCGGACGCUGGCAUAAUGGUCGUAAGCGACCCGUCUUGAAACACGGACCAAGGAGUCUAACAUCUACGCGAGUGUUCGGGUGUCAAACCCGUGCGCGCAGUGAAAGCGAACGGAGGUGGGAACCCCCCGGGGUGCACCAUCGACCGAUCCUGAUGUCUUCGGAUGGAUUUGAGUAAGAGCGUAGCUGUUGGGACCCGAAAGAUGGUGAACUAUGCCUGAAUAGGGCGAAGCCAGAGGAAACUCUGGUGGAGGCUCGCAGCGGUUCUGACGUGCAAAUCGAUCGUCAAAUUUGGGUAUAGGGGCGAAAGACUAAUCGAACCAUCUGGUAGCUGGUUCCUGCCGAA